rnacentral:rRNA from 1 species
GGGAAUUCAGCUGAUGAGCAUGAUUUGUGCUUGGGCAUAUUGACCGCCUUUCAGUGUCUGCUUAACUGCGGGUGCCUGCCUCUGGUGGGUAUGUGUGGUGCGCUUAUCAUGUGCCGCACGCAUUGGAGGGUGUAUGAGUCUGCUUGUCGGUGCACUUUCUCAGGGUGUUCACCACGACCGGCACUGCUGUCUGUCUGCUUUGGUCAAACUGAUCAGGUCUGAUUAACGUUGGGCUUGGUUGGGUUGGCAGGUGACUCACUGGUCCACUCUGUGGGCUAUGAGUGUUACUAGCCGGCUAUAGUGGAUCUGUACGGUGUGUCGGAGACGGCGGCUUUGCAUAUGCGCUCUGUCCUUCAGGCGUGGUUGAGUCUGGUCGACUUGUUGCUAGUUUCGGCUGGUCAGUUGAUGGCUUGAUCAUGUUCAGUUGGCAGUGGUGUGUGUGUCUUAGUUUGGGCCAAUAGUCUGUGGUGUUGUGGUAGACUAUCCACCUGACCCGUCUUGAAACACGGACCAAGGAGUUUAACAUGUGCGCGAGUCAUUGGGCUUUACGAAACCCAAAGGCGCAGUGAAGGUAAAGGUUUGGCUUGUCCAGGCUGAGGUGAGAUCCUGUUGUUUUGUUCAUUAAUUCCAAGCUGCGAGCAGCAGGCGCAUCACCGGCCCGUCCCAUGACGUAGACAUGUGGCCUUGUGCUAUGUGCACCGUCGGGGCGGAGCAAGAGCGUACAUGUUGAGACCCGAAAGAUGGUGAACUAUGCUUGCGAAGGUUGAAGCCAGAGGAAACUCUGGUGGAGGACCGUAGCGAU